UGGGGAAUAUUGCACAAUGGGCGCAAGCCUGAUGCAGCCAUGCCGCGUGUGUGAAGAAGGCCUUCGGGUUGUAAAGCACUUUCAGCGGGGAGGAAGGCGUUAAGGUUAAUACCUUUGCCCAUUGACGUUACCCGCAGAAGAAGCACCGGCUAACCCCGUGCCAGCAGCCGCGGUAAUACGGAGGGUGCAAGCGUUAAUCGGAAUUACUGGGCGUAAAGCGCACGCAGGCGGUUUGUUAAGUCAGAUGUGAAAUCCCCGGGCUCAACCUGGGAGCUGCAGCAGAUACUGGCAAGCUUGAGUCUCGUAGAGGGGGGUGGAAUUCCAGGUGUGGCGGUGAAAUGCGUAGAGAUCUGGAAGAAUACCGGUGGCGAAGGCGACCCCCUGGACAAAGGCUGACGCUCAGGUGCGAAAGCGUGGGGAGCAAACAGG
rnacentral:rRNA from 1 species